ACGCUCGACACCUACGGGAGGCAGCAGUGAGGAAUAUUGGUCAAUGGGCGCUAGCCUGAACCAGCCAAGUAGCGUGAAGGAUGAAGGCUCUAUGGGUCGUAAACUUCUUUUAUAUAAGAAUAAAGUGCAGUAUGUAUACUGUUUUGUAUGUAUUAUAUGAAUAAGGAUCGGCUAACUCCGUGCCAGUAGCCGCGGUAAUCUGAGCGGCUGGCAAGGC
rnacentral:rRNA from 1 species